GAUCGGGGAAAGAGAAGCCGAAGGGAGAGCGGAGGAGCGAGGAACGACGAUGGAUUCAAGGACGGUAGCCAUUGCCGUAGGAGAUCGGAGCUCCAGAGAGAGAUGUGGAUAGACAGAGAGAGAGAGAGAGAGAGAGAGAGGAGGAGAGUAGUGNNNNNNNNNNNNNNNNNNNNAGAGAGAGUAGUAGAGAGAGAGAGAGAGAGAGAGAGAGAGAGAGAGAGAGGGAGAGAUUGGCUGUUAGCGAUUUCAGGAUGGCGAAUAGUGUGUGAGUGGGGAGGAGCAUUUAGAUGAGGAUCCAAAUUAAAAUAUGAGCGCAUACGGGAAGCGAGGUUACAAAGACCAAUUUAGCCUCUUCCCAGUUUGUAUGGGAUACCCGCGUACAAGAUUCUAGAUAUAAAUUUAGGGUCGGUGAGAAGUGGUUUGUUGGUUAGUUCGUCUAACUAAAUAUGCUAGAGGUUAUAUGUUUAUAUCUGUAAUAUAUAGUCGAUAAAUAUCUCAUCUGGCCCACGAUGCUACCGGAAGCCCAACAUGAGGUAGACCGAGCAGGCCUCAUCUUGAAGGUUGUAGUAGUUUGGGCCGGGCAGGAGACACACCACAGAAGACCAAAUAAACAGAUCUCAGUAGCAUAUUUGUCCCACAUCGAAUAGCAGGCAAGAUAUAAGUCAACGCGGGGCUAUAAAUACAAUGUUAAAGUCAACCAAAGAGGUAAGAAAAUCUCAUAUCAUUAAAUACUAUACCUACCAAGUAACUGACUUAAUCAUCGGAGAGAGAAAGAUCAGAAAGUCUCGAUCAAUCUCCUCUUGCAGGUAGCGAGUCAACGACGAUCAAAGGCAGAGAUCACGCCAAGAGCUUCUAUAAGGUCUACGAGAUCUUGCAGAAACAAUAUCUAACUAAUGUUGUAAGAGCAUCUUCAGUAAUGUAACUAAAACUAUAGUUAAAUUUAGCAAUAAUUAUGAGAUUUAGCAAUUGUUAUAAGAAUUUGGCUCCAACAGUUAUUGCUAAGUGUAAGUUAAGUAAUAUUUUUAACGAAUUAUAAACUGACACCUGAAAAAAAAAAUGAGGGAAAAUAUAAGUAUUCAUUUACCAAUUCAUGGCUGAGUUGACAAAUUUAUCAAUUUUGUUUAGCAAUCCUUAAAUUUAAGCAACCAUUUAGGUAUACUGUUAGAGCUCCUAUUCUUUUGUAUCAUUUAUUUUAAUAGUAUAAUAUUUCUGGGUCCGGUUCAAAGGACAUCAAUUUUGACACUAUUUAUUGGCCAUUAGAUUUUAAAACAUUCAAGGGUCUAGAUCAAUUGUAAAUAUGAUGUCAACAUAUAAUUAAUUGACGUGGCAAGUGAUGUGGUAUUUUGUCUUAUUUCAU
rnacentral:lncRNA from 1 species